AACCAAAUAAAACAAACAUCCAAAAGGAUCUCAAAUGCAAAAACCUGAUCUAAAUCCACCCAACUGGACAUUUUUAGUGUCUUUUGUUAUUAAAGAAGUUAUAUUAUCUUUUCGUUUACUGUAAUUACAACGAUUCAAAGAUUUUAGAUGAGAAUUAUAUUGCACUUAUUAAUAUACAAGUGUUAUGCCUUAUUAGCACUUCAACAAGGUAAACUACAAUUUAGAUAUAUAAAACUUAUAACUUAAUUUCUG
rnacentral:misc_RNA from 1 species